rnacentral:rRNA from 1 species
AUUGAACGCUGGCGGCAGGCCUAACACAUGCAAGUCGAACGAGUGGCGGACGGGUGAGUAAUGUAUGGGGAACUGCCCGAUAGAGGGGGAUAACUACUGGAAACGGUGGCUAAUACCGCAUACUAUCGGAUGUACCCAUAUGGGAUUAGCUAGUAGGUGGGGUAAAGGCUCACCUAGGCGACGAUCCCUAGCUGGUCUGAGAGGAUGACCAGCCACACUGGAACUGAGACACGGUCCAGACUCCUACGGGAGGCAGCAGUGGGGAAUAUUGCACAAUGGGCGCAAGCCUGAUGCAGCCAUGCCGCGUGUAUGAAGAAGGCCUUCGGGUUGUAAAGUACUUUCAGCGAGGAGGCGUUACUCGCAGAAGAAGCACCGGCUAACUCCGUGCCAGCAGCCGCGGUAAUAC